GACGAACGCUGGCGGCGUGCCUAACACAUGCAAGUCGAGCGGGGUCCAUCCAGUGGCAACACUGGGGAAGACCUAGCGGCGAACGGGUGAGUAACACGUGAGGAACUUGCCCCGGAGUACGGGAUAACUCGAGGAAACUCGAGCUAAUACCGUAUGCCCUCUUCUGGUCGCAUGGCCGGAUGAGGAAAGAUUUAUCGCUCCGGGAGAGCCUCGCGGCCUAUCAGGUAGUUGGUGGGGUAACGGCCCACCAAGCCAUCGACGGGUAGCUGGUCUGAGAGGACGAUCAGCCACACUGGGACUGAGACACGGCCCAGACUCCUACGGGAGGCAGCAGUGGGGAAUCUUGCGCAAUGGGCGAAAGCCUGACGCAGCAACGCCGCGUGCGGGAUGAAGGCCUUCGGGUUGUAAACCGGCUUUCAGCAGGGAAGAAAGUUGACGGUACCUGCAGAAGAAGCCCCGGCCAACUACGUGCCAGCAGCCGCGGU
rnacentral:rRNA from 1 species